CGACCACCACCUCGACCACCACCACUAUCACUACGACCACUACGACCACCACUACGACCACCACCACGAUCACCACCACGACCACCACCACGACGACCACCACCACGACCACGACGACCACCACGACGACCACCACGACCACCACCACGACGACCACCACGACCACCACCUCGACCACCACCACGACCACCACCACCACGACCACCACCACCACCACCACACUACUACCAAAGUACCAGUGUCAUUACUAAUCUAUUGGGGCAAGACAUUUGCUUACUCAACAAAUCUAUUUUCUCCCCGUUCUUCACUUUUUCGGAUCCCAGAGUCAAAGAGGAGGUCCUUACCUCCGACUUCAUCGGGGAUGGUUUGUAGUAGAAUACUCUUUCUUUCAUGAAGAACAUGUAGUUGGUGUCUCUGCUCAGCAUCCUUUUCUUAUCCUCCGCAUACGAGAAUUGGAGGCCGUGAUAGUCGCGAUCAUCUGCCCCUUCCUGAUUGGCACAAUGUCAAAGACACUGUUCUUGGUCAUUGGUUUGGCGGCGUCUGAUGAGGGGCCAGUUCUGUUCACGGACGAAAUCCCUCAGUAUUUCGUCGUCCGGCGUAAGGGACGGGCUCUGGAGUGACUUCUUAGCCCCACGAAACUUGCUCAAGAGCGGGCACUUUUUAUCCUGACAGAGAAAUCGUUCAGCGACAGGUAGCUCACCGUCAGCAUCGGCUCCACAAGGUAGUUCAUCGGCUUCCUCUGUCGUUUUGCUUCGUUCCUUAAGAUUUUGGCAGCCAUUAUUUUCUGCCAACGCGUUGUCGCGUAUUGUCCCGAGUGAGCGUUGUACGACGUGUAUCGACCUUCCGUGUUCGUCCAGCAUCCUUCUCAAUGUCCAUAAAGUCGGACGGGGAUGCAAUGCUCUAGAAUCUGCUUCCCCUACGGUGCUUCGGCGUCCUCGAUGAGGUUGGUAGGACGUAAGCUUUCGUUGGCGUACGCCCAGACAAGGAAUGUGUUCAGCAGCAGGCAUUACAUCGGCUGGCAUACUCGCCAUCGCCUGAGGUACGUGAUUGGACACCGCUGCCUCAACUGUUGCGGACUUGCGGUUAUCAUUGCCUUCGACACACUAUUCGCAAUGAUCACCUGUUACACAGACAUAGCGUUAACAGUAAAUUGCUGAAGCCCGACUUUAAAAUAUAAAUCAUACAUACGAGUCCAGUACGAAAUGAAUGCGAUGCGGCUCUGCUAUGAUAAUCAAAAGGUAUAAGCUUCGCCAAUAGAUUCACAUGACCGCUCGCCCUCUAAAGCGGCGUUAUACUCCCUGUAUUUCAGGUUCUCGGAUACGCCGACACCCUGACCAAGGUUCAGACAAAGAUACACCGUCAUGUAUCUUUUGAUGAACGCAACCAAUUUCUUUGUGAGAAUCGUCACGGCGCCCUCCUUCAUAUCUCCGCUCCGUUUCAUCUGCUUGUCGAAUGGCUCUUUGCGGUGCGAAGACAUUCGGUCACUUCGCGGAGCGUCGUUGAAAUCUUCUUGUUGGUCAUCUCCGCACGAUGUUGCUUAGUAACACCUGAUUCCAGAUCCGUACGGAUUUUUUAACAUUUUCGAGGAGACACAUAAUCCUCUCUUACUCCCGCCGAUUGUCAAAUCUAACAUUGAGAGUUAUGUCCAUCUUAAGGCUAUUCAAGAAUUUAAUGAAGUCCUUUGUGUAAUUAAGUUUGGUUUUCACACUUUAAACAUAUUUUUCCUUUGUUUUAAGGACACUUUGGUAAGACUCAAGCGUAAGGGUCUCGGUAUUUAACUAAACUCCUGUGCAGAGGACCUCGCCUAAUGCCGACAACAUAAACCGGUACGUAAUUUGCAUCACGUUGGACACGAGCGAGAACACGAUGCUGUCCCGUAUUCAGCCUCCCGUUCUCGUUGCUUUCGUGGUCUGCUUCAUUGUCCGACACGGUCGUGUCGUCACUUGACUCGAUCACCCGUCACUUUCCUUUGGGGAUGAAAGGCGGAAUAAUGCGAUCACUUUCGCUUCCGCCUGCGGGACUGAUGUCCGACACGAUCUCUUCGUCACUUGACUCGAUGAUUUGCCGCUUUCCUUUAGGGACGGAAGGCGGAACAACGCGGUCGCUUUAUCUGUCAGGGGACGACAGCAGGCGCUUUUGGCAUUUUGUGUGGUGGCCUAGACCUUAGCGUAUCUCUGGGGUGUGACUGACAAUCGCCGAGUUGUGGACAUACUGGGCAGCGCCGGUUAUCGCUGCCACUGCCAGUGGCAGCCUUCACUUGCACCUUCGACGGAGAACCCAUGAACAACGAUUUUAUAUCGUUAAUAGGGCACGCCGUGGCAUAAGUGUCUUGCUCAGAGACGUCCAUACGCUCGCUUCUGCAGGGAUCACUUCGUGGCCCCAUUCCUCUAGGAUACCAUACACCUAAUAUAAACAUUACCCAAAUCAUCACAUGUACAAUUGGCACAAAUACAAAAUAUACAUUGAACUACAUUAUUAUUAUGCCCCCGGAUCGAUUGUUUUUGACCUGUCUGUCAUUCUGUCCCAAAACUUUAACCCUGAUUAAAGUUUUGCGAUAACUUUGGCAAUAUUGAAGAUAGCAACUUGAUAUUUUGCUGCACAUUUUGAGUGGUGUAAGGUCAAGGUCAUCCUUCAAGGUCAAAGGUCAAAUAUAUGGCUUCAAAGCGGCGCAAUAGGGGGCAUUGUGUUUCUGACAAACACAUCUCUUAAUAGUAUAAUAUUAUAGUAAUAGAGGAGAACUAGACUUAAUAAUAAUAAUAAUAAUACAAUUUUUAGCUCGGCGGUUUUCGGAGAAAACCCUAGGUAUUGUCAUAGCCAGCUCGUCGUCAGCCGUCAGCCGUCCGCCGUAGUCGUCGUGCUAAAACCUUAACAUUAGCUCUAAAAUCAAAGUUCUUACAUCUACAACGUUGAAACUUCAUAUGUAGUUGCACCUUGAUGAGUUCUACACGCCACACCCAUUUUUGGGUCACUAGGUCAAAGGUCAAGAUCACUGUGACCUCUAAUAUAAAACUUUAACAUAGGCUCUAAAUCAAAAUGCUUCCACCUACAACUUUGAAACUUCAUAUGUAGAUGCAACUUGAUGAGUUCUACACGCCACAUCCACUUUUGGGUCACUAGGUCAAAGGUCAAGGUCACUGUGACCUCUAAAAUAAAUCUGACCCGCUUUCGCAGCCGAGCGUGGCACCCGUUAUGCGGUGCUCUUGUUAUUAAUUGACAUAGUAUUUUUAUUUCAGUUAGACGUAGUAUUUAUAUUAAUAAUAUUUUUCGUACACGCAGUAGUUUUAUUAUUAUCAGUAGUAAUACUAAAGUCAUUAUCAUUAUGUUUAAUAAUAUAAGUUUAAUUAGUGGUUGUAGUAUUAUUAGCAGUAUUAGAAGUAGUAUUUCUAUUAUUAUAAUUAUUAGUAGUUAUAGUAUUAUAAGUAAUAUUAUUAUUAUUAGUAAUAGUAUUAAUUAAUAAUAAUAUUAUUAUAAUAGUGGUACUUGUAGUAGUUUUAGUAUUAGCAAGAUGGCUCAGUCUAUUCUCUGACUAGCGAAGAAGGACACAACUAAUGAAGAACCAAUCGCAACAAUUUUCGUUGCAAUUGGUGCUUCUGCAAAUACAAUGGACCCAGACUCUUACGACACCAGACCAAGUGCUGCAGCAAUUGCCCAGUCGUGGAUUCAGUAACGGAAGCUUUUGCGAAGGUAAACUUCAAACUUGUAAAACAAAACUAUGUUGUAUUAGUAUUCGCCGCGUACAAAGCGGUCCCGGAAGGAUGUCUGCAAGCGGACAGGAUGUACACCGCCUCUAAGGUAUGUGGAGAAGUUUUAUUAGUUCACAAUUUCUGCUUUAUUUUUUUACGUUUUGCUGUACAAUUUACGAAACCGAUAAUCUGUAAUAAAAUGCUGUUUGUAAUGUAAUGUAACGUUUAUGUUAUGUAAAACCCAAUACAGAGAAAGCCUAUGUUGUUACUAAGGACCUACCCUAUUUUCUAAUAAGAUGUACUUCUAUGAAUAUGUAGAUGUACUCCUAUGUAUAUGUUGUAUUUGUGUCAACUGUACAUGUGAUUAUGUUGGAAAUGUUUAAAUAAGGUGUACGCUAUCCCUGAGGAAUGGGGUCACGACAUUAUCCCCGCAGGAGCUGGCAUAUGGACGUCGCCGAAAGAGCCUCUUCUCCGCGUGGUGCCACGGCGCUUUAAACGUCUUCAUCUUGAAUAAGCGCCGGUUGUGGAAAGGCGUCGAUGACCCAUUGCCAAGUCGUUGUUUAAGGGUUCUCCGCCGAAGAUGCCAGUGAAGGCUGGCAGUGGCAGGGAGAAACGGGCGAUGCACAGUUUGGCCACACCUCGGCGAGUGUCGGCCACUGUCAGUCGCGCCCCGGAGAGCGACGCUGGGGAGGAGGCGCCAGACAGCCAGAAGCGCCCGCUGUCGUCCCCUGACAGCGAAAGCGACGUUCAUGUAUUCCCGCCUUCCGUAUCUAAAGGAAACGGCGGGUGAUCUAUUCAAAUGAGGAAGAGACCGAGUCGGACAUCGUCGCCGCAGGCGAAAGCGACCAUGUUAUUCUGCCUGCCGUCAAGAGAGGAAAGUGACGGGUGAUCUCGUCUGACGACGCGACCGUGUCCGACAUCGCUCCCGCAGGUGCUACGCUCUGCCAGCCUCCUACCCCUGUCUACCGGACAGCUCCGGAAGAUGGUAAAAGAAAGUGGCUACUUCGAUGUUCCAGAGGAGUUAACGGAGCGGUUGAUAUUUGACAACUUCCGCGCGCACCUUAAAUAGGCAGGGAAGAAUGAUAAAGUAAUGGACAUGACCCUUUCAAACGUGGCGAAGCCUGUUUACCGGAUGAUGGUGUCGGCAUAUGGCGAAGGCAUCUCAGUGCAGGAGGCCCUGACGAUUUGUUCUUACCAAAGUAUCCUUGACUUUAUGGACACUAAUGUUUACAGUGUGAAAACUUAACUCAAUUACACGAAGAACUUCAUAAAAUUCUUGGAUGUUCGUUAAUAUGGACAUGAACUUAGAGGUAAAAAUACAUGUGAGUAUAUGAGGAUUUUGGUGAACGUCCGUCAGGGUCUCGAAACACGUUUUACUAAGCAACACAAAACAGACAUGAACAACAAGAAGAUGCUACCAACGCUCAUCGACGUGGAGCAAGUUAUUACCGUUGCCAAAUUCGACAUGACGAUGUAACGGAUCGGAGAGAUUUAGGAGGACGCCGUGAAGAUUCUCACCAAGACGAUGGUUGCGUUCCUCAACAGAUACAUGGCGGCGUAUCUGUGUUUAGGCCAGGAUCAUAAUGUCGGCGUAACCAAGAAUCUGAAAUACAGUGAGGAUCUCUUAGCUUUAGAGGGCGAGCGGACAUGUAAUGCUAGUGGCGUGCCUCACCUUGUGAUAAAUGUAGCAGAUGAAAAACUGCCGCCACACAUGACUGUCGCAUCGCAAUCGAUUCGUACUGGAUUAAUGUGUAUGAUGUAUGUUACAGAUACGUAAGCACCAGCAUCAGGCUGAAGACGUGUAAUUUAAGAAACAGUUUCAAAAUGAAAUUAUCAGAAUAAAAUUUACUUAUAAAUAUACAUCAUUUGAUCGAAUUUUUCCUCAAUAUGCAUUUACAAAAUAUAUUCCAAAGAAUUUCUAGAGUCUAAUUAGAUUUUAACAAAAGGGAUGUUUACAUUUAAACGUAAUUUUACACCUUUCUCAAGAGAUGUGUUGGUGACCGUUGAAGGCUAGAUUGAAUAAAUAUACACAUCAUAAACAUAAAUAAAUCCAAGAAGUUAAAAGCAUAAACUGAUGCAUUUUUAUUUUUAAGCUCAACAAUCUCCACCUUUUCCACAAUGUAUGCUUACCUAUUUCUGUAUGCCCUCUGUAUAAGCUUUUGCCACCAAUACCUCGUUAUGAUCGCCUCUCUGGUCUUGUUUAUGCCACUGUGGCCUCCAAAGGAACUCCCGUGAAAUUCCUAUAAGAUAUUCCCAGCAUUCUCCUUCAAAGUCACAUUUUAACCAUUGAUGCUUCUGGGUACAAAUAUCUACAGGUCACAAUCUUAAACCUUAUUUAUAAGAUAAAACCAUGUUUUUACGAAAUUACAUAUUUCAUUCGAGUUGCUAAAGUAUUUUCAGAAAAAAAGUUGUAAAAUGAUCAAGACAAUGGUUUUUUUCAAUACUUUAAGUUGGACAAUUAAGUUGUGAUCUUUUUCAAAUAUGUCGUCUUUUUGGUCAUAAAAUAUGCAAGUCAGACUCCUUAUGUGCUUUUUAUGUUCUACUGUUUAUCUUAUAGACAAAUUUAUAUCUUAAUUACAAUGUUAUUAGUCACAAUCAGGACUUGCAUAUAUAAUGUUCCAUUAUAAUGCAAAAAGGCAGUGCAAGGCAAGCUUACUAUGCGCUACAUUUUUACAACUGUUUAUCUUUUCCUACACAUGUAACUUGGCUUUAAAUUUAUCAAAACAGACAUGAGAUGAAUUUAUCCUUUUUUAGCUCACCUGAGCGAAAGGUACUCAUGCUGAGCUUUUGUGAUCGCCUUGUCCGUCGUUCGUCAUGCGUCAUCAACAUUUGCCUUGUUAACACACUAUAGAGGCCACAUUUUUGUCAAAUCUUAAUGAAACUUGGUCUGAUGAUUGCCGGCUCGCGCUUGAGACUCUAAAAGGAAUUAUCUGUCAAUUUUUGAAUUCCAUCUUGCGCGCUUUUUUAGCCUGAUUUACUGCGGCAUUACUACGCUGUCUACAAACAAAUGUUACUCUUAGCAGUAAUUUCUGCGCUAGCAGCAGAUGCACCGAUAGCAGUUGCUCCCAUGAGAGCGUUUGUUGCCAGUCCUUAUAGUCCUGUUCAAAAGUUAUCUCCCCCUUACCUUAAGUGACUUUUUAAGGCUUCCUAAAUUUCUCUAUCGCAUCAUCUGUGAUAUUAAGCGUGCUUUCGAGAAAUGCUGAAUUGAAAUGUCAGGAAUCGUUUCUAAUAUUGUGUACUUAACGCGUUCCCAAUAUGGUACAGUUAACUAUGCUUAAGGUACCAGAUAAUUUGCAUUUUAAUAAUAUAAAUAAAGUAAUUAUUUUUCAUAAAUACAUUUUAUUGGUUGUAUAUUCCAGCUGAUGCUGAUCAUGAAAUGGUUGUGAGGUUUUAUAUUUCACACGACCUCGUAUUAUCAGAAGCACGCUGUGUGGAGGUUGAGCGUGCUGCGAUAAAAAGGGCUGACGUGAACGCGAAUGUAACGCAAUAGGGCGACAUUGUCCACACUACAGCGACCCAAAAUCUCCCUGCUCACCCUCUGACGAAGAAGCGAGUGGAGUUGAAGCGUGGACACAGUCUUCAUUAUUACGCUGGUAUGGACAGGUGGACGGCAAACGCCACAUCAUAUUCACUAUCACCGAUAAGCUGAUCCGGCUCGAGCAGUCCAACAGCUGGUUCACAGACUGCACCUUUCACGUCGUCCGCAAGACGUUUUACCAGCUGCUGUCAAUAAACGGCUUCCUGUGACACGAUGAUUCCUGAGAAGCAGGCGUCCCUACCCUUCGUCAUGAUGUCAGGAAGACUGAAGGCUGACUAGGUCGCCGUCUUUUGCCACAUUUCGGGUCAGUGGCGUGAAGACCCACUUGUCCAAGGCAUGGACUUUUAGCACUAAUGCAGGCGCUACUGGAGCUAUCCCUCGCAGCCCAGAUGAAAGGAUGGGUCUUUCACUGGGGCCGGUAGUUCUUUGGCAUACUUAUUAAGAAGGUCUAAAAAAGACAUAUGAGAUACGCGAGACUCUCCAUUCAAUUCUUUGAUCCUGAAGUCUUUGAUCCUGAAGUUAAUGACAAUCCAUUGCUGCCCAGGAUACAGAUUCUACGUGCUUUCAUUUGGUACACUUUAUAUUUCAAACAUGUAUUUACCUAUAGUUUACAAGUACUAAUUUAUAUGUAGUUAUACAGUAAAUAGGCUGUGAAUAAACAUUUCAAAUAUUGUACUAUCAAAUGCCUUAUAAAUCCAGGCUGUCUGGCUGAACGGGCGACAUCUAUGGAGACAGACGACGUAUUUGGUGAUGUUCAGUUAACCACGUGAUUACUUAAUUUGUUUACAAUCUAUGAGUGUUUAUGCAUUUAUUUAUAUGUGAUGUGUUUAGUUGUUGUUCUAUUCGACCAUGACUUAAUUAUAUAUACUUGCUAGUUAAUGUUUUUAAUUCUCCAUAAAAUAAAUUUAAUUUAAUAACCGAAGUAAAAUUUACAGCACAACGAUAGUAUGCCAUUAAGGAAAUACGACUUUUGUGUGUGAUAAAUUUAUGUAUAUGUGUUACGAUACUGUAUUGUUUUGUUAAAACGUGUUGAUUCAUUAUUAUUACUAUCAAUUAAAAUUCAUCCAAAAAUAUGCAAACGAAAAACAA